GGAGUUUGGUCCGUGUCUCAGUCCCAAUGUGGCCGUCCGCCCUCUCAGGCCGGCUACCGAUCGUCGCUUUGGUGGGCCGUUACCCCGCCAUCUUGCUAAUCGGACGCGGACCCAUCCCAUACCGAUAUUUCUUUUCACACAAAGAGAUGUCUCUCCGUGCGCUCAUGCGGUAUUAUCAGUCGUUUCCAACUGCUAUCCCCCUGUAUGGGGCAGGUUACCCACGCGUUACUCACCCGUCCGCCACUAAGUCAUCCCAAUUGAUUCUGCUUUGUGCAAGCACUCCACUUCAUCGGGCGGGACGCUUCGUUCGACUUGCAUGUGUUAAGCACGCCGCCAGCGUUCAUC
rnacentral:rRNA from 1 species